rnacentral:lncRNA from 1 species
AAAGCUUUAGGAAUAGGUAUUCCAUAUCUGGGGUGUAGAUGCCCAGAACCAAGAUCCCAGAACACAGUACUUUUUCAGGUUUAUCAGUCCCUCUGUUCAAGGAAGACGAAACGUAAAGUACACUCUCAACAAAUUAUCUUGGCAAUAUUUUGUUGACUUAUUAUUUUAAAGAUAUGCCAGUGUGUGACUUUUACUUUGUGGCAGCAUUGUUCCAAGGCACCAACCCAUCAAGAAACCCAGCCACAGAAGUCUUCUUUUAGGGAAUAUCUAUGCCUAAAACCUAUUGAAUAUCUAGACACAUCCCAGAGUAGAUGUGGGAGACUGAGCAUCGGCAGAUGUCCUACUUUGCUAAUACAUAGCCCGUGAUAUACGUAAGAGGAAACAAAAAGGAAAGAAAGCUGAUAACAGAAAUCUGGCAUGUCCUAACUGUUGCAGUUUCAAUAGGAAAGCUACCAGUUAAUUCUAAGGUAAUAGUCCCUGUAUUCUAAUUUUUAACAUUUAGUUCAGACAGUCCUUGUAGAAUUUCCUUGAUAUCAUUAAUCACUAUUAACUCAUCUUCAC